AUGACAGAGGGUGGUAUUGUGGUGGCCAUCUGCCAGCACGGCGGGGAGUUCACUCCUGGCCCCAAUGGGAAUCUGGUCUACAAAGGGGGAGAAGCGCACGCCGUUGACGUCUCUCGGGAGAUGCCACUGGACAGCUUCAAGGAUGAGGUGUCCAAGGUGUUCCAUGUCGAUGUCACUGACAUGUCGUUCAAAUACUUCCUGCCAAACAACAACAGAACGCUCAUCACAAUCUCAUGUGAUCGGGAUUUGCAACGGAUGGUUGAUUUUACUGCCAGUGCCGCGCAAGUAGACGUUUUUGUCAUUAGUACAGGGGAGAACAGGAGUGUUGUAACUUACACUGGAGCUUCCACUGUUAAAGCUGGAUCUAAUGCACAGGGUGACAAAAGGAAAAGGCCAGCUUCCAAAAACAAGGCAUCCAAAAGUAACAAGAAGACCCCAAAUGCUACCGGUGCUGCAGUUGAAGCUAAUACCCAUGAUUUCAAUCAGCCAAGACCGGUGGAGACUUUAAAUGAUUACAAUGAGGAUUUUCAACUAGAAUUUGGACGUGAUGUUGCCUUUGCCACCACAGCUGAGGCUGUUUCCUCUGCUCCAGACGUUAUGAAUCAGGAGAAGCUUGCUCUCGUUGAUACCACACAAAGGGAACUAAUUGGGCCUUUUGAUGAUUCAAUCAAUGCAUAUGAUGGUUCGGAGAUCAUAAUAGAUCCUCCCCAGGAACUUACCAGUAACCCCACUAUGUUCUGGGAUGACAUUAUUAAAGGUGUUGGUCAAGAAUUUGAUAACGUGAAGGAUUUCCGAGCUCAGUUGUGCAAGUAUUCCAUCGCGAAAGGAUUUGCGUACCGGUUCAUAAAAAAUGAAACCACCAGAGUCACUGUGAAGUGUGUUGGGGAUGGCUGCACCUGGAGAUUGCAUGCAUCCGAGUCAUCUCGUAGCAAGAAGUUUGUUAUCAAGAAAAUGACUGAUGUGCACACAUGUGGAGGAGAAGGUGGAGAGGGUCAGCGGCGAGCAACAAGGCAGUGGCUGACUACCAUCAUUAAGGAGAAACUGCGUGUGAACGCAUCACUCAAGCCGAAGGACCUUGUCAAAGAAAUAUAUGAAGAAUAUGGAGUUCUGCUGACCUAUUCACAGGUUUGGCGAGGUAGAGAAGUGGCACAGAAGGAGAUGUUUCAUGUUAUGAGGGAGACAUUUGGCCAUUUGCCCUGGUACCGUGACAGACUUUUUCAGACUAACCCAGGGAGCUCACUUGAAUUGUCUCAGACAGUGGAUACACGCCGUGUUUUUAUCGCAUUCCAUGCUUCUUUGCACGGAUUUGCAAAUGGGUGCAGGCCCCUCCUUUUUCUUGACAAGGUUCCGCUCAAGGCGACAAAUGAGUACAAGUUGCUGGUUGCGGCUGCAGUUGAUGCAGAUGAUGGUGUCUUUCCAGUGGCAUUUAAUGUGGUUGAAGAUGAAAGUUAUGACAGCUGGGUUUGGUUCUUGAUGCAGCUGAGGAUUGCUCUCCAAUAUCACAGCUACCCAUUCAAUGCUAUGGCAUUCUUGUCCAAUGGACAAAAGGGUCUGGAUGCUGCUGUUCCACAUGUGUUUGAAGAUAGCCACCAUGCCUUCUGUUUACAUCAUAUCAUGGAGGAAUUCAGAGGAGAACUGAGGAAGGGACCAUGGUCGCAACAGAUAAGAGAUGCGAUGGUCGAGGAUUUUACUCGUGCGGCCGAAGCAUGCAGCGUUGAUGAGUUUAAUGCAUCAAUUGAGAGCAUAAGGAAUAUAUCCACUGAAGCCGCCGACUGGAUCAUUGCGAGUAAGCCAGAGCAUUGGUCAGAUGCUGUCUUCACAGGCUGCCGGUAUGACCAUUUCUCAUCAAACAUUGUUGAUGCAUUUAAUAACUGGAUACCAACAAAGAAGGAGGGGUCCAUGGUGCUGAUGAUAGACUCUCUGAGAAUAAAAAUAGCGGAGAUAAUGGAAGCAAGGCGUGAGGCCUGCAAGUCAUGGGAAGGGCCUUUAACACCUUCCAUGGAUUUCAAAGCGCAGGGUGAGAUGUCGAAGGCUAGUAAGCUGACCGUGCUGUGCUCUUCCGAGACUGUUUGA
rnacentral:rRNA from 1 species